rnacentral:rRNA from 1 species
UGAACCCUAGGGAGGCAGCAGUGAGGAAUAUUGGUCAAUGGCCGGAAGGCUGAACCAGCCAAGCCGCGUGAAGGACGAAGGUGCCAAGCAUUGUAAACUUCUUUUGUCAAGGGACAAAAUCAGGCUCGAGAGCCUGACCGAGGGUACUUGAAGAAAAAGCAUCGGCUAACUCCGUGCCAGCAGCCGCGGUAAUACGGAGGAUGCGAGCGUUAUCCGGAUUUAUUGGGUUUAAAGGGUGCGUAGGCUGGCUGUUAAGUCAGCGGUAAAAGCCCGGGGCUCAACCCCGGCGAGCCGUUGAAACUGGC